ensembl:lncRNA
UUUAUUUAUUUACUUAUUUAUUUCAGCUGGGACUUCAAUGUACCUUUCGACCAGGCAAAAUAGUGAUCAUCUGAUUUUUGGGGAAGCUUCUCAAAAUAAUUUUAUGGACGUCUACAUAGGACAGUUAAGGACUGAAUGUCUUUCCUAUAGAGAUUAUGAUGAUAUUAAAAUCAAAAAGUGCCAAACCCCAUCAUUUUGAAUAUACACCUAGGGUCACACCGUUCAUGAGGCAAACAAGACUAAAAAUUGGUAAUUGAUUACAACAGGUAAGCUCCUCUGACAGAAGGCGUUUGGAGUCUUCAAAAGGUGCAGCUGAAAGAUCAAAUGUGAAAUUAAAGUUUAAUGAAGGUGAUGGUUGUUCCUCUACCCAUUUCCCCACCCCCCCCGGGGGAUCAGAAGAUCAUUUAAUAAGGCUGUUUUUAUACACAAAUGCAACUUGUUUAUUUUGACCUCAGUUCUUCGAAAUUGUCGACGCCACACUGAAAUAUGCUGUGUGUUCCAACAAGGACCCAGCAGUCGUAAUGACAGACCAGCCCAUCUGUGCUGCGAGAAUGUAUAAUUUCAGUCUAUAGUGGAAUUUAUAUAGAAGCGAGAUCAUGUGAAAACUGAGAUGCGUGGUACUUUCUUCGAAAAAAAUAUCGCUACAUGAUAUUUGGUCUCAUCUAACUAUCCCAACUGCAUAAGAUGUAUGCUGGAAAAUGUAUUAUCCAGAUACAGUAAGACGAUUAGAGGAACAGAACCUCAGAGGAAGAUACUAAUUUAGAGGGAAAAUGCUCAUUUAUGGAGAUUAAUUGAUUUUAUGCUACCUGCCCCUACCCUGUCCAAAAAGACGGCGAGUUAACUCUCAGGAAAUGGGACUAUCGCUCCAGGAUUUAGAAUUAAAGGCCGAUUCACCAACGUUAAUUAUAACAAAAAAUAAAAUUAAAAAAAAAAGGAGGAGUGGGCAGCUCUGAGAAGUCUAAAUUCUUUCCAAAUGAUUACCCCCCUCCCCGCCCCCUCUACCAGCUUCUCUAGUCUCUCGACUCCUCUGCCUUUAGAAUUUAUGACACUCUGUUUCUUGCUAUUACUUUUAUUUUGCCACCAGUGUUUUAUUUGGUGCUUGCUAAAUAUUUGGGUGGAGUGAUCUUCCAGCUUGCAGCAGCAGAAUGUGGCUGUCAUAGUCAUGAAAAUGUUUUAAUUAUCUCUGCUACAGAGAUGCCUGUCUCUGCAGCCCCAAGUCCUCCAGUACCGACUGCUGUCUAAUCUAAGAACAAAAGCGGCCGCAGAUAUUCCUCGUGCGCUGAGCUCACUUUCAACAUUUGCUGGUGUCUGCUCCGGCCAGCCGGCGGCUCAGGCCGGCACACACAGGACCCGAACGCCUCUGAUGCCAGAAAAUAACCAAAAAACCUAUUUACGUGGGAAUUUUCCUCUGAGUUGCACCCCAGCACUUCCUGGGCCUGAUCUCCCAUGUUCUGUAAAUCAAGACCCUGGCUACCCUCGAACGUGGGGAACCCAGGCUGUGUCUGCGGGAGCUUUGUCAGCCUGCCAGAGGAGCGAGGUGAGCUUGGAGCUGCACUCUGCAAAGACCACGUCUUAAAUGAAAAGCUUCAGGGACCAACAGAGAAACGCGGGCAGCCAUGGACCCCAGUUCCUGGACAGCAGCGGCAGCGUGGCCUGGGGACUGACUCCCUGCCCGACGGUCCACCGUUCAGCCCUGGCCAGUCAGGAUGGCUCGGGCCACAGCUCUGCAGGUGGGAAACCAGGACAGGAUCAGGGCACAGGCAGGCCCUGGGACCACUCAGGGCCCCCGAGGGCUGGUCUGGUGGACGUGCCCCCCGUGAGCCGUCUGUGGGCAGGGCAGUUAUAAACCAGGCAGGGCAAGGCUAGCUGGAAGCCCCGGGCUUAAAUAAGUGCUUAAAAAAACAAAGCCCCAAACAACCGAAGAGAUUUCCCCCACACUGAGCUGAGCACCGAAAAGAGCUUCUUCUUCCCCCCCCCGGCCCCCCCAAAAAUAAAAUAAAAGGGAGAAAGAACUGGAUUCCUAAACUUGUGGACAUGGCAGCAUUCAAGAUGCCGGAUGAAAUGAAAGGGCCUCUGUUUCUCAAAGCAGCACCCACCCUCCCGUGUGCCAGCCUGGCCCUGCCUGCCGAGGAGUUUGCUGGAAGGAGCAUGGAUGGUUCUGGUGUUUUUCCCUGUGCCAC